AUGAUGAUCAUCUGAUUGUCUUCAGCAACAAUGUUGAAUAUUUGAGCCUCAGUAUGUCAGAAGAGCUCAGGAAAGACCAGAGAAACACAGUCUUUCAGACUGCAGUAUCAGUGAAGAAGGUUAUAAAGCUCUGGCUUCAGCUCUGAGAUCAAACCCUUCACACCUGAUAGAGCUGGAUCUCAGAGGAAAUGAUCCUGGACAAUCAGGAGUGAAGGAGCUGACUGAGUUAAUGCAGGAUCCAAACAGUACACUGAAGACACUGAGUUGCUGCAUGGAGGACACCAUAGCAGCCAGCGUCUUCAGGUUUUUGAGUCCUGCUGCUAAUGAAGGCUGUCAGUUUGUGACUGGAAUUGUGGGUAAAAACCCGUUACUCCUGAAAGAACUGAAUCUGA